rnacentral:rRNA from 1 species
CCUACGGGAUGCAGCAGUGAGGAAUAUUGGUCAGUGGACGAGAGUCUGAACCAGCCAAGUAGCGUGAAGGAUGACUGCCCUAUGGGUUGUAAACUUCUUUUAUAUGGGAAUAAAACGUUCCACGUGUGGGAUUUUGUAUGUACCAUAUGAAUAAGGAUCGGCUAACUCCGUGCCAGCAGCCGCGGUAAUACGGAGGAUCCGAGCGUUAUCCGGAUUUAUUGGGUUUAAAGGGAGCGUAGGUGGAUUGUUAAGUCAGUUGUGAAAGUUUGCGGCUCAACCGUAAAAUUGCAGUUGAAACUGGCAGUCUUGAGUACAGUAGAGGUGGGCGGAAUUCGUGGUGUAGCGGUGAAAUGCUUAGAUAUCACGAAGAACUCCGAUUGCGAAGGCAGUUCACUGGACUGCAACUGACACUGAGGCUCGAAAGUGUGGGUAUCAAACAGGAUUAGAUACCCGAGUAGUC